rnacentral:rRNA from 1 species
UACGUAGGGUGCAAGCGUUAUCCGGAUUCACUGGGUUUAAAGGGUGCGUAGGCGGGUCUUUAAGUCAGGGGUGAAAUCCUGGAGCUCAACUCCAGAACUGCCUUUGAUACUGAAGAUCUUGAGUUCGGGAGAGGUGAGUGGAACUGCGAGUGUAGAGGUGAAAUUCGAUAGAUAUUGCAAGAACACCAGUGGCGAAGGCGGCUCACUGGCCCGAUACUGACGCUGAGGCACGGAAAAGCGUGGGGAGCAAACAGGG